GGCCUGUAUCCUGAGAUGGCAUUGUUGUGUUGGUUUACGCGCAGUACGUCCUGCGUCACAGGACACAUGAGGACCAAUGCUUUUCUCUCUUUAGUGCUGGGUCCCGCCCUCUUGUGUUCUGUGACGCAGGACUUCGAAUAAAAACGGUUCAGAACUGAAGAAGAUCGUUGACCAACGCGAGCACAAUAUAAUAAUGUGUGAGUCUCUGUGUGAUCACUGAAGGCUGUUGUGGAUGUCUCAUGUAUCUCAUUUUUAUUGUUUAAAUGAGAAGUAUUGGAAGUAAACACAUGAACAGAUGAAGACACAAAGCAGUGAAACAUGAAGCUCAUCAGAUGGAGCAGCUCCAAAGAUAGACGACUGAAUUGUAAAGGAAAACAAACGCUGAUGUUAGUCAGAAGGAACAGCAUAGAUGGCAAAAGACCAAACUUUUCUCAAGAUGCAGACGGCUUCAUUCUGAUGCUUCAGAAAGAGUCACAGACUCUCACACAUCAGACCCAGCAGCUGAUUUCUGAUCCUGGAGACUGAGCUUCCUAUAGAGUCCAGCUUUCUGGAGAUCAAGCCGGUGUUCCUCUGGAAAGUGAUUUUGUGCCUCUCUGUGAUGAUGCUGUACAUUGACUAGUCUCUCACUCAUAGACCGCAGGCUAGUAUUAGAUGCAUAAGAAUGAGUUUUUAUACAGAUUCAUGUUAUUUUGAAUCACUGAUUACUGUAUGUAGUGCACUGCACACUGUAUGAUAUUAUAUGUAAUAUAGCAUGGUGCAGCAAUGCCAGUGUCAUAGGUUUAAAUCCCAGAGAAUGCAUGAAGUCAUAAGAUAUAUAGCUUUAACACAGUGAUUAUUAAACCCUUAUACUGCACACUUUUCAUUUCUCCUUAAAGUCUGAUGCAUGCAUUUAAGGUUGUGGGGUCUCUGCUAAUGAAUUGAUUGCAUUGCAAGAAACAUGAACUAGAAUAAAAUGUGUAUAAAUUGUAUUGCAAUAAAUCUGUACUACUCCA
rnacentral:lncRNA from 1 species